CUUCUGCGUUACAAUCGGCUUGAGGGAGGGAGUGGCAGGGGGGAGAUGUCAGCUGAGGCGCUUGGAAGUACACCACCGCGAAAAGGUCGAGCACGAUUGGCCUCCAUGUUGAAACUCGCUGAUAUAAACUUUUCUCUCAAUCAUUGAAUUGUGCUUCCAGUGGUGGUGGAUGAAAGAGAGUGAGGGACUUGAUGUUACAUUAGAUGACUAUCUGAACAGUUUGGCAAGAGGAAACGUUCAUUAAGUACUGGGAUAAAGUGAGAUUGGUAAAAUGUGUGGCAGUUUCACGUGCUCCAAAAAUGCUCUGACAGCAUUAAAUAUUCUUUACAUUGUUGUAGCAUUUAUCUUGAUUGGCGUUGCUGUCUAUGGAAGGGCAUCAGCCCUUGUGACUAAUCUUCCCAUCAUCGGGGGAAUUCUUGCCUGCGGAGUUAUUCUAAUUCUCAUAUCAAUACUGGGACUCAUUGGAGCGGUCAAGCAUCAUCAAGUGCUUCUUUUUUUUUAUAUGCUCAUUCUCUUCCUAUUGUUCCUGGUUCAGUUCAGCAUCGCCUGUGCAUGUCUUGCUGUUAAUACUAAGCAACAGGAGGAAUUGGCGGAGCAGGGAUGGAAACGCGUUGGUCCCCACAUCAAAGAGCAAGUCCAGACAACAUUCACGUGCUGUGGAUUCAACAGUUCGAUGGGAGCAAUCGAUGAUCCCGCUAUGAUCAACCCUUCAUGUGACGUCGUAAACAAAAUGUGCUGUCCAGAUCCUAGUCUCGAUCCAGACUGUUCGUGCAAACCCUGCAUGGAAAAACUUCAAUCGACGAUCGAUUACGCAUUUAAACUCUGUGGAGGCAUUGGUUUGUUCUUCAGCUUCACUGAGUUUGUUGGUGUGUGGUUGACGGUGCGCUACAGGAACCAGAAAGAUCCGAGAGCUAAUCCUAGUGCUUUUCUCUAGUCUAAUAUCUCCAUGACCCCUGUCACCUUGCACGACUCGCUAACUAGAUGGUAAUCGCUGCAUUUUUGGCGAGACGCUAUCGCAAUCAAUUGGAUCCUGAUGGAAAAGCUGCGAGAUCUUUGUUCCCCAGACUCAAUUAUGUUCAGUGAUUUCUCAUGGGGGAUAUUUGUCGUCUACCUUACAAAUACACAGAAAUCCAAAAGUGCUAAUCAAAAUUCCAAAAAAAUGAACACAUCAAUAGAUUUCGUGUGUUAUAGACACUCUAAAAAAUAUCACAUCUUAGGGAACAGGAUCAGUUUCUUUGCUUUCAUUGCAACGUACUACGGUGCAGGAUGGACACAUUUGACGUUUUUUUGAAUGCUCAUAAUUCAGUGUUGUUUUGAUGAAAUCCGACCAUGACCUACUCCAUCAAAAAUAUAUAAUUGUCAAUUUAAUGAGAUUAGACUGAGGUGUAGGACAAAUCGCGGUAAAAUGAACCCGGAUGACAUUUAUUUUUAGGUUUAUGACUCAGGAACAAAUUUAUUAGGUGAAGUGAAUUCAGUAUCAUCGUAAAGGGAAACAAUUGUCCUAUCCAUGCCCAAAAAAAUAUCCCUUUUUUCAUUGAAAGUUAAAUGAAUUGUUGAUAUAAAAACACAAGUGUCCAUUUUGCGUCAUCCUUAGUUAUCCUAUUGAUUUACAAUUUGCAAAUAUUUUGGAAAAUAUUAAUGUGUUUUUUCUCUCAUUCCUUAUCGAAGGCAUUCGUAUUUUUUGUAACCAUCGACAGUUAAUUUUCACUAAUCUUGAAAUGUGUAAAUCUUUUGGAAUGUGCUAAUAACCAGAAUGUGUGCCCUAGUCAGCCACGAAUAAUAGUUUUAGAGUCAUGAGGACAAGAACAAGAACAAUAUAAACCUUGAAGCGCCUUUCAGUGGAGCAAUCUCGAGAUUUUUUUGUGAAUUGAUUUGUUUUUGGCAUUUUUAUAAUUUUCCCUGAAUGAUUUAUGUAUCAAAGAGGCAGAUGUAUCGGUUUAUCGAGACUGAUGAAGUAUUGUUGUCAAUUAAUAUCGUUUAUUAUUUUAAUUUUUUUUCUGAUUGGGUUAAUCUACUAUAUACAAUAGUAUAAUAAAAUAGUAUCUCAACUUUUACAUGUAGACGCAGAAUUGUAAAAUAAUGUUCAGUUCAUUGUGUUGGGUGUCUAAAUUUGCUUCAACUUUCUGCAAUAAUUGAUGAUAAUAAAGAAAACUAAAAGCAGAAUACAA